rnacentral:rRNA from 1 species
AUUGAACGCUGGCGGCAUGCUUUACACAUGCAAGUCGAACGGUAACAGGCCGCAAGGUGCUGACGAGUGGCGAACGGGUGAGUAAUGCAUCGGAACGUGCCCAGUCGUGGGGGAUAACUAUCCGAAAGGAUAGCUAAUACCGCAUACGAUCUGCGGAUGAAAGCGGGGGACCUUCGGGCCUCGCGCGAUUGGAGCGGCCGAUGUCAGGUUAGGUAGUUGGGGGGGUAAAGGCUCACCAAGCCAACGAUCUGUAGCUGGUCUGAGAGGACGACCAGCCACACUGGGACUGAGACACGGCCCAGACUCCUACGGGAGGCAGCAGUGGGGAAUUUUGGACAAUGGGCGCAAGCCUGAUCCAGCAAUGCCGCGUGCAGGAAGAAGGCCUUCGGGUUGUAAACUGCUUCUGUACGGAACGAAACGGCUCUGGUUAAUACCUGGGGCUAAUGACGGUACCGUAAGAAUAAGCACCGGCUAACUACGUGCCAGCCGCCGCAGUAAUAC